UCUGUCGUGAAAUCNUCUGGCUUAACUGGGGGCUUGCGGUGGGUACGGGCCGGCUUGAGUGCGGUAGGGGAGGCUGGAACUCCUGGUGUAGCGGUGGAAUGCGCAGAUAUCAGGAAGAACACCGGUGGCGAAGGCGGGUNUCUGGGCCGUUACUGACGCUGAGGAGCGAAAGCGUGGGGAGCGAACAGGAUUAGAUACCCUGGUAGUCCACGCCGUAAACGUUGGGCACUAGGUGUGGGGGGCCUUUUCCGGGUUUUCCGCGCCGUAGCUAACGCAUUAAGUGCCCCGCCUGGGGAGUACGGCCGCAAGGCUAAAACUCAAAGGAAUUGACGGGGGCCCGCACAAGCGGCGGAGCAUGCGGAUUAAUUCGAUGCAACGCGAAGAACCUUACCAAGGCUUGACAUGUGCCGGUCGGCUCCGGAGACGGGGUUUCCUCCUUGUGGGGCCGGUUCACAGGUGGUGCAUGGUUGUCGUCAGCUCGUGUCGAGAGAUGUUGGGUUAAGUCCCGCAACGAGCGCAACCCUUGUCUCGUGUUGCCAGCACGUUGUGGUGGGGACUCGCGGGAGACUGCCGGGGUCAACUCGGAGGAAGGUGGGGAUGACGUCAAAUCAUCAUGCCCCUUAUGUCUUGGGCUUCACGCAUGCUACAAUGGCCGGUACAGAGGGCUGCGAUACUGUGAGGUGGAGCGAAUCCCUUAAAGCCGGUCUCAGUUCGGAUCGGUGUCUGCAACUCGACACCGUGAAGUUGGAGUCGCUAGUAAUCGCAGAUCAGCAACGCUGCGGUGAAUACGUUCUCGGGCCUUGUACACACCGCCCGUCACGUCAUGAAAGUCGGCAACACCCGAAGCCCGUGGCCCUACGGGGAGCGG
rnacentral:rRNA from 1 species